GCAGCCUUGGUGUAGUGGCUAUCACGUUCGCCUCACAAAUUUCCUGUGUACGCGAAAGGUCCCGAGUUCGAUCCUCGGAGGCUGUA